rnacentral:rRNA from 1 species
CAGCUCAAAUUUGAAAUCUGGCCCCCCGCGGGCCCGAGUUGUACUUUGGAGAGGACGCUUCUGGCGCGGCGCCGUCCGAGUUCCCUGGAACGGGACGCCGGAGAGGGUGAGAGCCCCGUACGGGCGGCCGCCUAGCCUCUGCGAAGCUCCUUCGACGAGUCGAGUAGUUUGGGAAUGCUGCUCAAAAUGGGAGGUAAAUUUCUUCUAAAGCUAAAUACCGGCCAGAGACCGAUAGCGCACAAGUAGAGUGAUCGAAAGAUGAAAAGCACUUUGAAAAGAGGGUCAAACAGUACGUGAAAUUGUUGAAAGGGAAGCGCCUGUGGCCAGACUUGCGCCCCGCGGACCACCCGGCGCCUCGCGCGCCGGGGCACGCCAGCGGGGCGCAGGCCAGCAUCGGCUCUCUCGGGGGGACAAAGGCCGCGGGAACGUAGCGCCCUCGCGGCGUAUUAUAGCCCGCGGCGCCAUGCCCCCGGGGGGGCCGAGGACCGCGCUCCGGCAAGGAUGCUGGCGUAAUGGCCACCGGCGACCCGUCUUGAAACACGGACCAAGGAGUCAAGCAUUGGGGCGAGUGUCUGGGUGGCAAGCCCGCACGCGGAAUGAAAGUGAACGCAGGUGGGAGCUUCGGCGCACCACCGACCGAUCCUGAUGUCCUCGGAUGGAUUUGAGUAGGAGCCCCGCCGCUUGGACCCGAAAGAUGGUGAACUAUGCCUGUAUAGGGUGAAGCCAGAGGAAACUCUGGUGGAGGCCCGCAGCGGUUCUGACGUGC